AUGAAUGAAGAAAGCAUAGACGGAACAAAUGGAUGCAAUAAAGUCCGAACUGGCACUCAGAAUGAAGCAGCGUUACUUGCUUUGAUGGAAAAGACUGGUUACAACAUGGUUCAAGAAAAUGGGCAAAGGAAGUUUGGUGGUCCCCCUCCAGGUUGGGAAGGUCCACCUCCACCUAGAGGCUGUGAAGUUUUUGUAGGAAAAAUACCUCGUGAUAUGUAUGAAGAUGAGUUAGUUCCUGUAUUUGAAAGAGCCGGGAAGAUAUAUGAAUUUCGACUUAUGAUGGAAUUUAGUGGUGAAAAUCGAGGUUAUGCUUUUGUGAUGUACACUACAAAAGAAGAAGCCCAGUUAGCCAUCAGAAUUCUUAAUAAUUAUGAGAUUCGACCAGGGAGGUUUAUUGGUGUGUGUGUAAGCUUGGAUAAUUGCAGGUUAUUUAUCGGAGCUAUUCCCAAGGAAAAGAAGAAAGAAGAAAUUUUGGAUGAAAUGAAGAAAGUUACAGAAGGAGUUGUAGAUGUCAUUGUUUAUCCAAGUGCAACUGAUAAGACCAAAAAUCGAGGUUUUGCGUUUGUUGAAUACGAAUCUCACAGAGCUGCUGCUAUGGCUAGGAGGAAACUAAUUCCAGGAACAUUCCAACUGUGGGGCCAUACCAUUCAGGUAGAUUGGGCUGACCCAGAGAAAGAGGUUGAUGAGGAAACCAUGCAGAGAGUUAAAGUUCUCUAUGUAAGAAAUUUAAUGAUCUCAACUACAGAGGAAACAAUUAAAGCAGAAUUCAAUAAAUUCAAACCUGGUGCAGUUGAACGAGUAAAGAAACUUAGAGAUUAUGCUUUUGUUCACUUUUUCAACCGAGAAGAUGCGGUGGCUGCUAUGUCUGUUAUGAAUGGAAAAUGCAUUGAUGGAGCAAGUAUCGAGGUAACACUGGCAAAACCAGUAAAUAAAGAAAACACAUGGAGACAGCAUCUUAAUGGUCAGAUUAGCCCCAAUUCUGAAAACCUGAUUGUGUUUGCUAACAAAGAAGAGAACCAUCUAAAAACUGUAGGCAAGCCACCCACUCUUCCAGCUCGUCUCAAUGGUCAGCAUAGCCCAAGCCCCCCUGAAAUCGAAAGAUGCACUUACCCAUUUUUUCCUGGAACAAAGCUUACUCCAAUUAGUAUGUAUUCUUUAAAAUCCAAUCAUUUCAGUUCUGCAGUAAUGCAUUUGGAUUAUUACUGCAACAAAAAUAAUUGGCCACCACCAGAAUAUUAUUUAUAUUCAACAAGUCAAGAUGGGAAAGUACUCUUGGUAUAUAAAAUUGUUAUUCCUGCUAUCGCAAAUGGAUCCCAGAGUUACUUCAUGCCAGACAAACUAUGUACGACGUUAGAAGAUGCAAAGGAACUGGCAGCCCAGUUUACAUUACUUCAUUUGGAACCGCUUGUCCAGCAUUGAAUACAAAUGAUGAUAGAAGGCAUCCUUGUAAACUUUCAAUAUUUCUCCAUUAAGACAGGGAACACAAUCUCUUCAGCCUGGACCUAUGUAGAAGAAUUUGGAGAAAAUAAGCAGGUCCUUUCUGAUGCUUGAGCUUAUUCUGCAGUUGAUCUCAUUCCCGUUGGCUAAAUAUUAAGUCCCAUGACAACAUUAAGUUAAUGCUCAUGUUUAGGCUUCAUUUAUAGUACCAGAAAAAUGAAAAAACCUUACCUGUACAUUAGAUGACCUAAUUCCUUUUCUUCCAUUCCUAGAAACACCCGAACUUUUAUAAAUAAUCAUUUUAUAGUCAUUGUUACACGCUUGGCUUAUUCUACCCUAAAGAACAUAGUUGAGUUUUUGGAAAGUACAGGAUUUACAAAUUUGGUCUUUAAUAUUCACACACAUCUAUAAACAUAAUUAACAAAGCAAGAAAUUAUUGGUGCAUAAGAUGAAUGUUUAUUGUGGAACAGUAAUAGUUCAGAUAUAAGUGGUUUAAAAAAUAAUUUGGUUUAAUUUGGGAUUUUUCUAAACUCUAAGUUGAUAAUGGUUUCUUGAAGUUUAUUUUAUAAAGAUGAUUCAUUUUACUGUUUUAUGGUACCACUAGGACUCUAAUGUUAAGUUGGUGUGUUGAGUUGUAUAAAUGUUUGUAUUCGUAUUUAAAUAAUGAAAUAUUGGACCGUUAGUUUUGCAGUCCAAACAGUUAGGUUUGCAUCAAACCUGGACUGGUUUGAUAACAUCUGCUGGUUUGAUGACUAAUAGUUUCAAAAAAAGAAGCAAAUAUGAAUUCACUGUUUUUUAUUUUUUCUUCAUGGAUUACCCCUUAACAUCAGAAACAAAUUUAGAAGAAGCUUCAUUGUGAAGCAAGAGAAAUCAGAGGUUCUCUUUCCUUGUGAUCAAAAGAAGACACAAAACAAUUAAUAGGUACCCAAGAAGUAGAUAUCCAAAGAAUGCAUUCUAAUAAAAUCUCUGAAGCAUUGUGUCAUUGAAAGAAACAUAUUACUGACUGAUAAAACUAUCAGGAUUUCCAAUGCAGUGAAUGCUGAAACAAUCUUUUUACCAGCAAUAUGGUAUUAUCAGGAUUUUGAAUGUUAGAACAUUAUGUUAAACUGUGAUUAUAGUUUUAAUGCUUUGUCUUUUUGAAUUAAAUUUGUAUCCAUAAAGAUGUGCAGCAUAAUUGUUCAUGUAUUUAUUUACAGACUACAAUUUCCGUCGCAGCUCAAUAAAUAGUCUUUCCCCCGUUAGUGCUACCCUCUCUUCUGGGACUCCCAGCGUGCUUCCUUAUACUUCAAGGCCUUAUUCUUAUCCAAGCUAUUCCUUGUCACCAGCAAUAUCACUUGCU